CAGCAGCCACGGUAACACGUAGGUGGCAAGCGUUGUCCGGAAUUAUUGGGCGUAAAGGGCUCGCAGGCGGUUUCUUAAGUCUGAUGUGAAAGCCCCCGGCUCAACCGGGGAGGGUCAUUGGAAACUGGGAAACUUGAGUGCUGAAGAGGAGAGUGGAAUUCCACGUGUAGCGGUGAAAUGCGUAGAGAUGUGGAGGAACACCAGUGGCGAAGGCGACUCUCUGGUCUGUAACUGACGCUGAGGAGCGAAAGCGUGGGGAGCGAACAGGAUUAGAUACCCGCGUAGUCCCUGUCUCUUAUAC
rnacentral:rRNA from 1 species